rnacentral:misc_RNA from 1 species
GUGAAUCAUCGAAUCUUUGAACGCACCUUGCGCCCCUUGGUAUUCCGAGGGGCAUGCCUGUUUGAGUGUCUUGAAAUCAUCAAGCCCCUCGGCGCUCGUCGCCGGAGGGCUUGGACUUGGGGGUCUUGCUGACGCUUCGGCGCCGGCUCCCCUUAAAUGAAUCGGUCGGGCUUAUCGUGUGCCGGUCCACGGGCGUUAUCACCCUCGUCCUGGGAUGGCGCUCGACUCGAAGGCCCCUCCUCGACCUGCCUAUGGAGCGGCGGUCAAAGGCGCUUUGCCACUUUGUGAUCUGACCUCAAA